UGAGGAAUAUUGGUCAAUGGGCGAGAGCCUGAACCAGCCAAGUCGCGUGAAGGAAGACAGUCCUAAGGAUUGUAAACUUCUUUUAUACGGGAAUAACGGGCGAUACGAGUAUUGCAUUGAAUGUACCGUAAGAAUAAGCAUCGGCCAACUCCGUGCCAGCAGCCGCGGUAAUACGGAGGAUGCGAGCGUUAUCCGGAUUUAUUGGGUUUAAAGGGUGCGUAGGUUGUUCGGUAAGUCAGCGGUGAAACCUGAGCGCUCAACGUUCAGCCUGCCGUUGAAACUGCCGGGCUUGAGUUCAGGGGCGGCAGGCGGAAUUCGUGGUGUAGCGGUGAAAUGCAUAGAUAUCACGAGGAACUCCGAUUGCGAAGGCAGCUUGCCAUACUGCGACUGACACUGAAGCACGAAGGCGUGGGUAUCAAACAGG
rnacentral:rRNA from 1 species